AAGUCGUAACAAGGUAACCGUAGGUGAACCUGCGGUUGGAUCAUUACUAAAUCUAACUUGAGAAGCGUUCAUUUGAAUGUAGAGACUGCAAAGUCUUGAAACUCAAAUGGCCUUCUUAACAACACCUUGUGAACUAAUGAACUAUUGUGUUUGGUGGGGUUCAAGACCUCUGGUUACUCCCGCCAGACAAUAUAACAAACCCAUUAUUAUUUGAACUGACUUUUUUCAUUAAACUAAUGAAAGAAACAACUUUUGACAACGGAUCUCUUGGCUCUC
rnacentral:misc_RNA from 1 species